GGCUAACGUGUCUAAUAUAAAAUCCUAAAACAAAACAAAAAGUUUACUCCCACGACUGUUGAUAAAAGUUUACUCCCGCGACUGUUGAUAAAAGUUUACUCCCGCGACUGUUGAUAAAAGUUUACUCCCACGACUGUUGAUAAAAGUUUACUUCCACGACUGUUGAUAAAAGUUUACUCCCACGACUGUUGAUAAAAGUUUACUCCCACGACUGUUGAUAAAAGUUUACUUCCACGACUGUUGAUAAAAGUUUACUUCCACGACUGUUGAUAAAAGUUUACUCCCACGACUGUUGAUAAAAUUUACUCCCACGACUGUUGAUAAAAGUACAUUCAAUACUAAAGUCAGUUGAAAGCAUAAAAACGCCCAAAAUUUAAAAGAAAAGUUCAACGCUAGAUUUUAACCCUCCUGUAACAUUAUAUGAUGCUCGAGAUACAUUGUCCCUC